rnacentral:rRNA from 1 species
GACGAACGCUGGCGGCGUGCCUAAUACAUGCAAGUAGAACGCACAGUUUAUACCGUAGCUUGCUACACCAUAGACUGUGAGUUGCGAACGGGUGAGUAACGCGUAGGUAACCUGCCUGGUAGCGGGGGAUAACUAUUGGAAACGAUAGUUAAUACCGCAUAAUAUUGAUUAUUGCAUGAUAAUUGAUUGAAAGAUGCUAUUGCAUCACUACCAGAUGGACCUGCGUUGUAUUAGCUAGUAGGUGAGGUAACGGCUCACCUAGGCGACGAUACAUAGCCGACCUGAGAGGGUGAUCGGCCACACUGGGACUGAGACACGGCCCAGACUCCUACGGGAGGCAGCAGUAGGGAAUCUUCGGCAAUGGACGAAAGUCUGACCGAGCAACGCCGCGUGAGUGAAGAAGGGUUUCGGAUCGUAAAGCUCUGUUGUAAGAGAAGAACGGGUGUGAGAGUGGAAAGUUCACACUGUGACGGUAUCUUACCAGAAAGGGACGGCUAACUACGUG